rnacentral:ncRNA from 1 species
CGGAGGAUUUUUGAAGGGAGCUGUUCCCAGUACGAGAGGACCGGAAUGGGGGAAUCCCUAGUGUACCAGUUGUCAUUAUCUGUGGCAUCGCUGGGUAGCUACAUUCCUAAGGGAUAACCGCUGAAAGCAUCUAAGCGGGAAGCCCACCCUAAGAUUAGAAAUCCACCCAAUUCUUUGCUCUUCGGAGUAUUGAAUUAAGACCCGUUGGAGAAUACAACGUUGAUAGGCAAGUGGUGUACGGCCCGAGAGGGCUUUAGCCUACUUGUACUAAUUGGUCGA